UCCUUUUGGGUUUUGUAGUUCAUAGUUUGUGAUUUAAAAGUUGUAAUAUGUUACAAGCUUUAUUCUUGUUUUUUGAAUGUAAAUUUUGCUAGAAAAUUUGUCAUCUCAAAUGUUGUAGAUGUAGUUCAUAUGAGCAUGAAUAUUGGAGCUACAAUUUGGUGCCAUGACUUUGGGGAUUUUCGGCCAAAUCUAAAGGGUGGAUUUUUGGGUUCUUGUUUGACUUGUUAAAAGUGUUUUCAAGUGACUUUUGGAACCCCUAUGUACCCUAGUUUGGUUAGAUGUUAUUUCCCUAAAGUUUGAAUGGUUUUGGAAUGUUUUUGGGUGAAAAAAAGUUCAUGGAAAAAUUUUGGGUUUUUCAUGAAUGUUCUUCAUUGUUCUUGACAUUUUUGCCAAG
rnacentral:lncRNA from 1 species